GCAAGAUUUGCCAAACACCUAGAUAAAUCACUGCUCUCCCUGUUCCAAGCGCGUGUACCGGGUGGGGGCAUGUGGUCACAGGAGCGUGAUCGCUACCCACUCACUUACCCAUAACUGAAGCGCCGUAAUCCACUGCAAGUCCAGGGUUUGGGAUAUGGUUGGCGUCCAGCUUUCCGACUGUCAACAGCUCAGGGUGUUCCUGUGAAGCAUCGUGCGAUGGAUUCCUGUGUCCUGACUCGAUCUAUGGGGAAGAACGAAAUCCCUCAUAACUUAGAGAUUGUUCUGAAGUGAGUGUUUCUGCAACAAACUGUUUGUCUGCCAUCAGACAGAUCGAGCCAGUGCUGUGCACAUCAGUUUAAAUACAAUGUAUGUACAUUGUGUAAUAAAAUAUUUGCGUCGA